CUACGGGUUGCUGCAGUCGAGAAUCUUCCGCAAUGCGCGAAAGCGUGACGGAGCAAUGCCGCGUGAUUGAUGAAGGCCUUCGGGUUGUAAAGAUCUGUCAACAGGGACGAAAUAUUGACGGUACCUGUAGAGGAAGCCACGGCUAACUACGUGCCAGCAGCCGCGGUAGUACGUAGGUGGCGAGCGUUGUUCGGAUUUAUUGGGCGUAAAGGGUCCGCAGGGGGUUUGCUAAGUCUGAUGUGAAAUCCCGUGGCUCAACCACGGAACUGCAUUGGAAACUGGUGAACUAGAGUACUGGAGAGGUAAGCGGAAUUCCAGGUGUAGCGGUGGAAUGCGUAGAUAUCUGGAAGAACACCGAAAGCGAAGGCAGCUUACUGGACAGUAACUGACCCUCAGGGACGAAAGCGUGGGGAGCAAACAGGAUUAGAUACCCGAGUAGUC
rnacentral:rRNA from 1 species